UCCUAUCCAUGAAUGUUUUAGGAAAAAAAAGACAAAAAAGACAACCCUGAAUUUAUUUUCACUAGCUAUUAAAGAUUUAUAUUAAAUGUAAAGAAUAGGGAACACCAAAUUCCUACAUAUUAUUAUGUUCUAUUAAGGAAUGAAUUAUGCUACCAUUGAUUCCUUCCGUGGAUGAAAUUCAUCAA